UCAAAUUCCAUGUGACAUAAUCUUCGCUUAAACAAGAAGAUAGUUAUGCAACUAACUCAAUUGAAUCUUCAGAUUGCUCCAAAGAUCUCUUAAGCUCCACUACUCUCUUCUUCUUAAGCUCCCUUCGUAUUUGGCUUAUAGACCUGCAAAAGUGAUAUUACUAUCAAUAAUAAAUUCAUCUAUUGAAAGGCAUAUAUGUCCCUAAAUUAGGAACAAAGUAAACCCAACAGCAUGGAUUUGGUGAAUGACAUUGACACACCAACAAAACAGAAACUAUAUGGUAAUAGAGAAUCUAAUAUCAUGUCAUGAACCAACAAUCACAAAGACUAGGUUUGGAUUAACUUAUGUCAUAUAAAAUCUUACAUAAAAUAUGUUGAAGGUACUUUACCUACGAAAAUGUCCUUAAAAACUUACAAAUGUUUAUGAAGCAAUUAAAUAAAAGAGCUUAUGAAAAAAUUGAGAUUAAGAAGCUAAUUUCUAACUGACAUCGUAAGGUAUUGUCUUAAAAACUCGCAUCUAUUAUUAGGUUCUUCUAAUAUUUCUUUUUUAAUGGAUACUUCUAGAGACGUUAAUCCAUUCAAAAACUUAAGCUAUUAGAUGAAUGUCUAAACACAAGAUAAACAUACUUAAUCUCACUCAAAUCAUUCAUCUCUCAAAAUCCAUUAGAGCAACUAGUCGAAUAUACAGUCCAAACCUGCCAUCAAUCACACAACUAUCAUAAAGCAUAAUAUCCCUAAACAAAUUGAACACAAGUAUAAUAUAAAUAUACUACCAGCUCAACGAACAUAAUUUUGGAAUCUGGAAUCAGAAAUUCAAUUAAAAGUGCAUCAACAAGAUUAAGAAAACCCAAUUAAGAAAAUAAUAUGCACAAGAUUGCAACCAAAUUUUAUAUUUUUAGUCAAUCAUACUUCCUAACUCAGUCAUAACUUUGUGUCACCUAGAAUCAAAUUGAAUUUUUAGAGUAAACUAGAAAGCAUCAAUUCAAUCAUUUGAAGAUGAUUAUAAAGUCACUUUUAGAGUAAUGCAAUAGCAAAAACCCUAAUCAAUGCAGAGGUUGAACAAUAACAGAUCAAGGAUGAAAAUACAUACCAAAAUCACCAACUCAAAAAAUUAAAAGUGAAUCAACAAGAUUAAGAAAAUAAUAUGCACAAGAUUGCAACCAAGUUUCAUAAUUUUAGUCACUCAUACUUCCUAAACCAGUCAUAAUUUUGUGUCACCUAGAAUCAAAUUGAACUUUUAGGGUAAACCAGACAGAAUCAAUUCAACCAUUUUAGAAAUAAGAAAUCGUAACCAGAAAUUAAUGCAGAGGUUGAGCGAUAACAGAGAAAGAACGAAAAUACAUACCAAAAAUCACCAAGUAACGAAGAGGUAGAAGUUUGCAAGUUUCGAAAAGGUUGAGUGUAAUCG
rnacentral:lncRNA from 1 species